CGCAUGCGGAAGGACCUACCAGCGGGGCAUCUUGGUCAUUUUCCCCUUUCCGGGCUGGGUUGAAUGGUAGGGCUGAAGUUGAGCCUGGUGAGGGCCUGAUUACUGGGCCGAGAGGUUUGGGCCGGCUUGAUUGAGGAGUCUAGGCGGAGUCCGGCCCUGUGACUGAGCGGGCUGGACCUGACUCUCGAAGGGAACAUUGAAGC
rnacentral:lncRNA from 1 species